rnacentral:rRNA from 1 species
GAGUUUGAUCAUGGCCUCAGAUUGAACGCUGGCGGCAGGCCUAACACAUGCAAGUCGGACGGUAGCACAGAGGAGCUUGCUCCUCGGGUGACGAGUGGCGGACGGGUGAGUAAUGUCUGGGGAUCUGCCCGAUAGAGGGGGAUAACCACUGGAAACGGUGGCUAAUACCGCAUAACGUCGCAAGACCAAAGAGGGGGACCUUCGGGCCUCUCACUAUCGGAUGAACCCAGAUGGGAUUAGCUAGUAGGCGGGGUAACGGCCCACCUAGGCGACGAUCCCUAGCUGGUCUGAGAGGAUGACCAGCCACACUGGAACUGAGACACGGUCCAGACUCCUACGGGAGGCAGCAGUGGGGAAUAUUGCACAAUGGGCGCAAGCCUGAUGCAGCCAUGCCGCGUGUAUGAAGAAGGCCUUCGGGUUGUAAAGUACUUUCAGCGGGGAGGAAGGCAUUGUGGUUAAUAACCGCAGUGAUUGACGUUACCCGCAGAAGAAGCACCGGCUAACUCCGUGCCAGCAGCCGCGGUAAUACGGAGGGUGCAAGCGUUAAUCGGAAUUACUGGGCGUAAAGCGCACGCAGGCGGUCUGUUAAGUCAGAUGUGAAAUCCCCGGGCUUAACCUGGGAACUGCAUUUGAAACUGGCAGGCUUGAGUCUCGUAGAGGGGGGUAGAAUUCCAGGUGUAGCGGUGAAAUGCGUAGAGAUCUGGAGGAAUACCGGUGGCGAAGGCGGCCCCCUGGACGAAGACUGACCCUCAGGUGCGAAAGCGUGGGGAGCAAACAGGAUAGAUACCUGGUAGUCCACGCCGUAAACGAUGUCGACUUGGAAGUUGUUCCCUUGAGGAGUGGCUUCCGGAGCUAACGCGUUAAGUCGACCGCCUGGGGAGUACGGCCGCAAGGUUAAAACUCAAAUGAAUUGACGGGGGCCCGCACAAGCGGUGGAGCAUGUGGUUUAAUUCGAUGCAACGCGAAGAACCUUACCUACUCUUGACAUCCACGGAAUUCGGCAGAGAUGCCUUAGUGCCUUCGGGAACCGUGAGACAGGUGCUGCAUGGCUGUCGUCAGCUCGUGUUGUGAAAUGUUGGGUUAAGUCCCGCAACGAGCGCAACCCUUAUCCUUUGUUGCCAGCGAUUCGGUCGGGAACUCAAAGGAGACUGCCGGUGAUAAACCGGAGGAAGGUGGGGAUGACGUCAAAUCAUCAUGCCCCUUAUGUCUUGGGCUUCACGCAUGCUACAAUGGCCGGUACAAUGGGUUGCGAUACUGUGAGGUGGAGCUAAUCCCUAAAAGCCGGUCUCAGUUCGGAUUGGGGUCUGCAACUCGACCCCAUGAAGUCGGAGUCGCUAGUAAUCGCAGAUCAGCAACGCUGCGGUGAAUACGUUCCCGGGCCUUGUACACACCGCCCGUCAAGUCACGAAAGUUGGUAACACCCGAAGCCGAUGGCCUAACCACCUUGUGUGGGGGGAGUCGUCGAAGGUGGGACUGGCGAUUGGGACUAAGUCGUAACAAGGUAACCGUA